ACUCCUACGGGAGGCAGCAGUGGGAAUCUUGGACAAUGGGCGAACCUACGAUCCAGCCAUGCCGCGUGAGUGAUGAAGGCCUUAGGGUCGUAAAGCUCUUUCGCCUGUGAAGAUAAUGACGGUAGCAGGUAAAGAAACCCGCCGUACAUCCGUGCCAGCAGCCGCGGUAAUACGGAGGGGUUAGCGUUGUUCGGAAUUACUGGGCGUAAAGCGCACGUAGGCGGAUCGGAAAGUU
rnacentral:rRNA from 1 species